rnacentral:rRNA from 1 species
UUGGAGGGCAAGUCUGGUGCCAGCAGCCGCGGUAAUUCCAGCUCCAAUAGCGUAUAUUAAAGUUGUUGCAGUUAAAGAGCUCGUAGUUGAAUUUCGGGGUUCUACCGUUGGUCGGGCUUUGUCUGUACUGGUGUGUAGAAUUUCUACCUUCUGGGGAACCAUCAUGCUAUUAAUUUAGCGUGGUGGGAAACCAGGACCUUUACCUUGAAAAAAUUAGUGUGUUCAAAGCAGGCUUAUGUCUGAAUACAUUAGCGUGGAAUAAUAGAAUAGGACGGUGGUCCUGUUUUGUUGGUUUCUGAAUCACCGUAAUGAUUAAUAGGGAUAGUUGGGGGCAUUAGUAUUCAAUUGUCAGAGGUGAAAUUCUUGGAUUUAUUGAAGACUAACUUCUGCGAAAGCAUUUGCCAAGGAUGUCUUCAUUAAUCAAGAACGAAAGUUAGGGGAUCGAAGACGAUCAGAUACCGUCGUAGUCUUAACCAUAAACUAAGCCGACUAGGGAUCGGACGAUGUUAAUUUUUCUUAACCCGUUCGGCGCCUUACGGGAAAC